AUCUGAGAACAUAUUUAAACACCAAAUUAAAUUCAGUACUAUGACGAAUAAAAUCAGUUUAUGUUAAACAAGGCAAAAGACGUUUCCAUCAUGCAAAUGGAAACAUGACUCACAUCUUGUCCUUGUAUGUUGAGUUGUGUAAAAUAAUAUAGUUUACAGCUCAGUAAAGACUUUAUAAAAUGAAAUAAAAUAUAUACAAAACCUUUAUUUCACUGCAAAAGUGUAAUGUCCAAAAAUGCAUAAACAUUUGGAUCUUUCAAUUAAUCAGUAUAUCUAGUUACAAAGUUAGUCACAAAUCUGAUCCAAAUGAUUUGUUCACAAGACAGAUGUGGUUCUCUGAGUAAGUUCAACUCACUGACUCACUGACUCAGUCACAUAGGUUAACAGCUCACUGGAGGGACCAAGUGAAUAAUAACUUUCAGUCUAACUAUUGUAUGGUUUCACAAUACUUAGAAUUCAGCACACGAGUACCACUUUUAUUUACUGGUUGAACUCUUUCUUUAAAGGUGUGGUAAUGAUGUGAACAUAACAAGCAACAAAAAAGUGACUGAAAUCACGACAGCAUCAUCUCCUCUCAGGGUUAUUGCAAAAUACAUAUGCUCCGUAGGCAGCAAGCCAGCACAAUCUUUAUAACCAGGGCUGCUCGUGAAAGGCAGUUUUUCUCAAGUUCAACAAGUUCAGUUUUUUUGUAUACUGGCAAAAGGAAGAAUUACUCCCAGGCAUCAUCCAGACCAGUAAAAGUGGAAAGUGUCAGAGGCAUGAGAUCAUGCCAAUAUCCUCAUCCAACUGAAGGAAAUGUGGGUAAUCUCGGCUGAUGUGAGCUCCCAAAUCACACAACAAAGACUGUUUGAGAGCGGCGGGUCACGUGGCUCAUGAGUCUUACUAAUGUAAAGCCUGUCAUUCUGGGGAGUACAGCUGAGGAAAGCAUAAAUCAACAGUAUGUCAGUCAAAGAUUUCCCACCAUGGAGAUGUUCCAGAGGAAGAGCUUCUGCAGCAGAUGCCCUGAAGUCUGUCAAGCCUUGAAGACGGCGCUUUAGAAUUCAGCUCACAGAACGUGUCAGACUGCAGCGCCACACAUUCUGUGCUGAUUCUCUUGGAUCUGGUCCACGUGUCUCCUCUGCUCUGGUGAUUCGUCUUAGAGAAAGGGCCAUAAGGCAGGGCUUUAAAAGGUCUGUUCUGAUAGCAGGAACCUGCUCAACUCUGACCGCUUCAGAGGGAGGCUUGAUCCGCCGUGACGUGCUGCUUCUUUCCACGCUGCAAUUCACCAUUGGAUGCAUUUGAUGCCAUUGAUGGCUGGGUAUUUUUCCAUGAGAAGAACACAUACACAAACAAACACAAACACAUAAACCAUCCAGUGGUUUCAGAAACGUGCAGAUUAAUGCGACACAGACCAUGCCGCUAUCCAAGAAAUUAAUGAGGUCUACAAAAUGAAGUUCAUACGAGAAACAUCAUGCCAUGUUUUGAUUACUCCUCCACUCCAUUCAUCAUCUGAAAUGAUGAAUGUAUUUAUGGAUACUCAUGAUACAGCUAACAUAAUUAAUCCAGACAGGAAAUAAUAUCAGUAUUUCAUCCCACUUCAGCUCUUAUAGUCUUGUGGCAAUGUAUAACUGUCUCAUGAUGUACAACGCACCAAGUGGCCCUUCACAUUCUUUCAUUUGGAAGAAUGGGAGUGGUGUAGAUCAUUCUUAAAAAGCCUAGUCGACUAACAAUGUCUUCCGUCACUUUGUGAUACAGUAAAUCACACCUGUUAGCUCAGUGUCUGUUCCGUUUGCAUUCUAAACUCAAGUCAACAAAUCCUCCCUCACCCGUAAUGAUGUUCAACACUUUCUCAGUGAUACUGCUCAAGGGCAGAGCUGGAGGACAAAACAAACACAUGACCACCUACGGUAGCUGCAAAGAAUAUUCAUUUACGUUUGUUUCAGGUAGAUGUUAAUUUGUUGGAUUUUUUUACAAAUUAAAGGAAAUGGAAAAUUACCACUUUGUGUCUCUACUCUUUAUCAGGAGUUGACCAAAA